rnacentral:miRNA from 1 species
UAAGAACCCUCGUUAGCGAGUUUGGC